UACGGAGGGUGCAAGCGUUACUCGGAAUCACUGGGCGUAAAGGGUGCGUAGGCUGGCUUUUAAGUCAGAUGUGAAAUCCAAUGGCUCAACCAUUGAACUGCAUUUGAAACUGGGAGCCUAGAGUUCAGAAGGGGCAGAUGGAAUUAGUGGUGUAGGGGUAAAAUCCGUAGAUAUCACUAGGAAUAUCAAAAGCGAAGGCGAUCUGCUGGGAUGAUACUGACGCUGAGGCACGAAAGCGUGGGGAGCAAACAGG
rnacentral:rRNA from 2 species